rnacentral:rRNA from 1 species
UUAAGCGACUAAGCGUACACGGUGGAUGCCCUGGCAGUCAGAGGCGAUGAAGGACGUGCUAAUCUGCGAUAAGCGUCGGUAAGGUGAUAUGAACCGUUAUAACCGGCGAUUUCCGAAUGGGGAAACCCAGUGUGUUUCGACACACUAUCAUUAACUGAAUCCAUAGGUUAAUGAGGCGAACCGGGGGAACUGAAACAUCUAAGUACCCCGAGGAAAAGAAAUCAACCGAGAUUCCCCCAGUAGCGGCGAGCGAACGGGGAGCAGCCCAGAGCCUGAAUCAGUGUGUGUGUUAGUGGAAGCGUCUGGAAAGGCGCGCGAUACAGGGUGACAGCCCCGUACACAAAAAUGCACAUGCUGUGAGCUCGAUGAGUAGGGCGGGACACGUGGUAUCCUGUCUGAAUAUGGGGGGACCAUCCUCCAAGGCUAAAUACUCCUGACUGACCGAUAGUGAACCAGUACCGUGAGGGAAAGGCGAAAAGAACCCCGGCGAGGGGAGUGAAAAAGAACCUGAAACCGUGUACGUACAAGCAGUGGGAGCACAGAGCAAUCUGUGUGACUGCGUACCUUUUGUAUAAUGGGUCAGCGACUUAUAUUCUGUAGCAAGGUUAACCGAAUAGGGGAGCCGAAGGGAAACCGAGUCUUAACUGGGCGUUAAGUUGCAGGGUAUAGACCCGAAACCCGGUGAUCUAGCCAUGGGCAGGUUGAAGGUUGGGUAACACUAACUGGAGGACCGAACCGACUAAUGUUGAAAAAUUAGCGGAUGACUUGUGGCUGGGGGUGAAAGGCCAAUCAAACCGGGAGAUAGCUGGUUCUCCCCGAAAGCUAUUUAGGUAGCGCCUCGUGAACUCAUCUCCGGGGGUAGAGCACUGUUUCGGCAAGGGGGUCAUCCAGACUUACCAACCCGAUGCAAACUGCGAAUACCGGAGAAUGUUAUCACGGGAGACACACGGCGGGUGCUAACGUCCGUCGUGAAGAGGGAAACAACCCAGACCGCCAGCUAAGGUCCCAAAGUCAUGGUUAAGUGGGAAACGAUGUGGGAAGGCCCAGACAGCCAGGAUGUUGGCUUAGAAGCAGCCAUCAUUUAAAGAAAGCGUAAUAGCUCACUGGUCGAGUCGGCCUGCGCGGAAGAUGUAACGGGGCUAAACCAUGCACCGAAGCUGCGGCAGCGACGCUUAGGCGUUGUUGGGUAGGGGAGCGUUCUGUAAGCCUGCGAAGGUGUACUGUGAGGUAUGCUGGAGGUAUCAGAAGUGCGAAUGCUGACAUAAGUAACGAUAAAGCGGGUGAAAAGCCCGCUCGCCGGAAGACCAAGGGUUCCUGUCCAACGUUAAUCGGGGCAGGGUGAGUCGACCCCUAAGGCGAGGCCGAAAGGCGUAGUCGAUGGGAAACAGGUUAAUAUUCCUGUACUUGGUGUUACUGCGAAGGGGGGACGGAGAAGGCUAUGUUGGCCGGGCGACGGUUGUCCCGGUUUAAGCGUGUAGGCUGGUUUUCCAGGCAAAUCCGGAAAAUCAAGGCUGAGGCGUGAUGACGAGGCACUACGGUGCUGAAGCAACAAAUGCCCUGCUUCCAGGAAAAGCCUCUAAGCAUCAGGUAACAUCAAAUCGUACCCCAAACCGACACAGGUGGUCAGGUAGAGAAUACCAAGGCGCUUGAGAGAACUCGGGUGAAGGAACUAGGCAAAAUGGUGCCGUAACUUCGGGAGAAGGCACGCUGAUAUGUAGGUGAAGCGACUUGCUCGUGGAGCUGAAAUCAGUCGAAGAUACCAGCUGGCUGCAACUGUUUAUUAAAAACACAGCACUGUGCAAACACGAAAGUGGACGUAUACGGUGUGACGCCUGCCCGGUGCCGGAAGGUUAAUUGAUGGGGUCAGCGCAAGCGAAGCUCUUGAUCGAAGCCCCGGUAAACGGCGGCCGUAACUAUAACGGUCCUAAGGUAGCGAAAUUCCUUGUCGGGUAAGUUCCGACCUGCACGAAUGGCGUAAUGAUGGCCAGGCUGUCUCCACCCGAGACUCAGUGAAAUUGAACUCGCUGUGAAGAUGCAGUGUACCCGCGGCAAGACGGAAAGACCCCGUGAACCUUUACUAUAGCUUGACACUGAACAUUGAGCCUUGAUGUGUAGGAUAGGUGGGAGGCUUUGAAGUGUGGACGCCAGUCUGCAUGGAGCCGACCUUGAAAUACCACCCUUUAAUGUUUGAUGUUCUAACGUUGACCCGUAAUCCGGGUUGCGGACAGUGUCUGGUGGGUAGUUUGACUGGGGCGGUCUCCUCCUAAAGAGUAACGGAGGAGCACGAAGGUUGGCUAAUCCUGGUCGGACAUCAGGAGGUUAGUGCAAUGGCAUAAGCCAGCUUGACUGCGAGCGUGACGGCGCGAGCAGGUGCGAAAGCAGGUCAUAGUGAUCCGGUGGUUCUGAAUGGAAGGGCCAUCGCUCAACGGAUAAAAGGUACUCCGGGGAUAACAGGCUGAUACCGCCCAAGAGUUCAUAUCGACGGCGGUGUUUGGCACCUCGAUGUCGGCUCAUCACAUCCUGGGGCUGAAGUAGGUCCCAAGGGUAUGGCUGUUCGCCAUUUAAAGUGGUACGCGAGCUGGGUUUAGAACGUCGUGAGACAGUUCGGUCCCUAUCUGCCGUGGGCGCUGGAGAACUGAGGGGGGCUGCUCCUAGUACGAGAGGACCGGAGUGGACGCAUCACUGGUGUUCGGGUUGUCAUGCCAAUGGCACUGCCCGGUAGCUAAAUGCGGAAGAGAUAAGUGCUGAAAGCAUCUAAGCACGAAACUUGCCCCGAGAUGAGUUCUCCCUGACUCCUUGAGAGUCCUGAAGGAACGUUGAAGACGACGACGUUGAUAGGCCGGGUGUGUAAGCGCAGCGAUGCGUUGAGCUAACCGGUACUAAUGAACCGUGAGGCUUAACCUU